GGGACAACAGUUGGAAACGACUGCUAAUACCGCAUAAGCCCACGGGUCGGCAUCGAGCAGAGGGAAAAGGAGCAAUCCGCUUUGAGAUGGCCUCGCGUCCGAUUAGCUAGUUGGUGAGGUAAUGGCCCACCAAGGCAACGAUCGGUAGCCGGACUGAGAGGUUGAACGGCCACAUUGGGACUGAGACACGGCCCAGACUCCUACGGGAGGCGGCAGUGGGGAAUAUUGCACAAUGGGGGAAACCCUGAUGCAGCGACGCCGCGUGGAGGAAGAAGGUCUUCGGAUUGUAAACUCCUGUUGUUGAGGAAGAUAAUGACGGUACUCAACAAGGAAGUGACGGCUAACUACGUGCCAGCAGCCGCGGUAAAACGUAGGUCACAAGCGUUGUCCGGAAUUACUGGGUGUAAAGGGAGCGCAGGCGGGAAGACAAGUUGGAAGUGAAAUCCAUGGGCUCAACCCAUGAACUGCUUUCAAAACUGUUUUUCUUGAGUAGUGCAGAGGUAGGCGGAAUUCCCGGUGUAGCGGUGGAAUGCGUAGAUAUCGGGAGGAACACCAGUGGCGAAGGCGGCCUACUGGGCACCAACUGACGCUGAGGCUCGAAAGUGUGGGUAGCAAACAGGAUUAGAUACCCUGGUAGUCCACACCGUAAACGAUGAUUACUAGGUGUUGGAGGAUUGACCCCUUCAGUGCCGCAG
rnacentral:rRNA from 1 species